UAUAAACAUUAUAAACCUAUAUAAUUUAUUUUAUUUAUUUAUUUAUUUCAGCGUAAUUCAAUUAUAAUACAAUAAUAACUAUAAUAAUAUUAAGAGCUGAUACGUAUACAAACUGAACUAAACUCGUAUCUAGUAUACGGAUAAUUGUAAAGUAACUUGUAACUUUAAAUGUAUAAGUACCUACCUACAACUGUAACUUGUAACCGGUUAAAAAUGUCCAAAAUAUCUUUUAACUAAAUAUAGAUACUCGCACAAUUAUUGUAUAACUAGUAUUAUGCUACCUAUACGAUAUGUAAAUAAUCUAAGCUAGGUUGUAUUUACAGAUUUUUUUUCUCACAAUAACUAUUAAAUUUGAGCCCACUGCAGAUAUUAUAUAUUUUGUAUAUUAUUUGUACAUUUACAAUCAAUAUAUGGCAGUAUAUAUACAUCACUAAUCACUGUAGAAAACAGUUUUACAGUUUGACCUUCGUUUAUAUAACGCUAUAUAUAAGUAUAUCAACUAUCAUCUAUUAUAUAUGUCAAUUAUACAGUACAUAAUAUAUAUACAUUAUACGUUGUAUUUUAGUACUAUAUACAGAGUAUCUGUGUCUGUAUGACUGUAUAAGUAAUUAAAUCGAAUAACGACUAAAUAUUGUCAGUUGCUAACAGUUUAGCGAGGGUCAUAGUCAUGCAUGAUGCAAGUACUCAAUAUAGCCUCACAAUUUGAUAAAUUGAUAAUUUAACAAAAUACAUACCUAAUCGUAGAAAUAAUAAAAACGAUUUAAAAAAAAUUACAAUGUUUAUAUUUUAUACUUAUAGGUGUAUGCAUAAAGAAAAAUAAUUAAAAUUUCUCUGUAACCUGUACUUUAUGUAGAGUGAAUGUAAUUAUUUUUCGGUCACUAUUUAAGGUUAAGCGUACCUAUGAUCAGUACUCAGUACAAUAUAUUAAGUAGAAGAUAAUAUUUCAAUUUGCCCGGAAACAAAAUAAUAAGAGGUUUUGGACAAUGUGGGGCAAUUUUAUGAAAUUUUAGAUUUGAAAAAAAAUGUACGAACAUUUUUUAGGUAAUCAACAUCCUAUCAUUCCUAUCUCUAGCUACUGACUGUGUGUCAAUGUAGCUUUUACAUCUCAGUACAAGUAUGUAUACAGCAUAGAGACAUACUGCUAUAAGUGCUAAUUAUUAAGAAGUACAAACGAAUAAGAUACCUGUAAGUUUUAAGUAUCGUACAAAUAUAUAGGUACCUAUGAUGUAGCAUGUAUCUAGGAACCUUUUGUCAUUUUAUAUCGCUACACUUUAGUAUUUUACAAUAUAACUUUAGCCUUUAGUAUUUGAAUAAUUAAUUUUGUUAAUACUUACCUGUUUACUGAGCACAAAUGAAUCGAAGUUUAAAUUUAAAAUUAGGUACCUACCUUUAACAGGCUAUAUUAUAUCGGUACUAUAACGGUUUUUCAAACUCAUUGACCAUUGUGGUAAUUUAUAUUUACAAUGCAUAUUUUAUAAGUAUUAGAAGUAUUACCAUAAAUACUGUAUAUAUAUUUCUAGUAGUAUUAUAAAUCAAUGGGAUAACGAAUUUAUGGCAGAGGUGAUUCUGUAUUGAAAUGUAAUUGUUUCAAUGUUUCAAUUUACAUUAAAUUUAUAUAAACAAUAGCCACGCAUAAUAUUAUUAUGCAGAUUACCUAAAUACACGCGACUGAAUUGCAUUGUAUUAAAAAAAUAUAUAAAUAGCAUAUUGUAUUUGCAAUUCUAAAUAAAUUAAUAGACAAUAGGUACCAAUAUAUAAUUAAUAGUUAGAAGGUGUGUAGAAUACUUAUACCUAUGUGUAGUUAUUUUUAUGUUGGAUGUUAAUUAUGUUGUAUGUUGGUGAAAUUUAAAGGAAAAUAACGAUUAUAAUUUAUAAUUACCUAUAUAUUAUAAUACCUACCUAUUAUAUAUUAUUAUUACCUAUAAACUAAUAUAAAUGAAAAAUAUAAUAGGUACCUAAGUACGUAGUCAGUCGCAAUUAUAAAACUGUUCAGGUCUAUCUAUAGAUGGUUUUCUUUUUGAUGUUCUAAAAGUAAUUUUGAACUAUUAAUUAUUAUACCUAUAUACCCAGUGGCGUAUCCAGAAUUUUUUUCAGGAGGGGUUAUCAUUCAUUUUUGACGAAUUUAAUAUGAAAAUAAUUUAUGGGAGGGAAGGUGUUACAAAUUAUUCCCCACCCCUUGGCCCUUAGAUUCAAUACCUAUACUAUAUAAGUACCUCCUACAAUUACCUACUACAUAAUUUAAGAGGUACCCAUAUAAAUAUAACUAGCUGAUCCUACGCACUUCUUGGCCCGUAAAAAAUGACGACUCAUAUAAAAAUUGUGAUUGUUUAACUCCUUUUGGGUGUACCUCACCUGCAGUAAGUGCAACUCACUACUCAGUCACCCUAGCUAGUAGGCAAUGUGCGAAAAUUCGAUUUGAUGCAUGCUUCUACCUGAUCUGCCCGAUUAACCAAUGUCAACCAAUAAAAAAUAAAUACUAUUUCUAUUAAUUAUUUCUCCUGUAACCAAUAGCAUACAUCUAUAAACAAAAAUUUCCAUCGUAAAUCUCAAAAUCCCUAUUUGAGCACCUCCCCGGGCUCCAAUUGGUCGUAGCGGGAUGAUAUUUUAAUAUAAUUAUUUUAUUA
rnacentral:lncRNA from 1 species